UGAGGAAUAUUGGUCAAUGGGCGAGAGCCUGAACCAGCCAAAUCGCGUGAAGGAAGACUGCCUUAUGGGUUGUAAACUUCUUUUAUACAGGAAUAAAAAAGGGGACGUGUCCCUUAUUGCAUGUACUGUAUGAAUAAGCAUCGGCUAACUCCGUGCCAGCAGCCGCGGUAAUACGGAGGAUGCGAGCGUUAUCCGGAUUUAUUGGGUUUAAAGGGUGCGCAGGCGGGCUUUUAAGUCAGCGGUGAAAUCUCGGGGCUUAACUCCGAAACUGCCGUUGAAACUGGGAGUCUUGAGUAUGGAUGAAGUAGGCGGAAUUCGUUGUGUAGCGGUGACAUGCUUAGAUAUAACGAGGAACUCCGAUUGCGUAGGCAGCUUACUAAGCCAUAACUGACGCUCAAGCACGAAAGCGUGGGGAUCAAAUCAAGAUUGAUGAUACCCUGGUAGUCACGCCGUAAACGAAUGAUUAUCUAGUUGUAUGCGAUAUACCGUAUGUGACUAAGCG
rnacentral:rRNA from 1 species